rnacentral:rRNA from 1 species
AAGUCGUAACAAGGUCUCCGUUGGUGAACCAGCGGAGGGAUCAUUAUCGAGUUUAUCCAACUCCCAACCCUAUGUGAACCUACCUUUAUGUUGCUUCGGCGGUGCUGCGCCAGGCUGCUCCCCAGGGAGCUCCUGGGACCACGCGCCCGCCGGAGACCACAAACUCUUGAUUUUGCGAAAGCAGUAUUAUUCUGAGUGGCCGAAAGGCAAAAAACAAAUGAAUCAAAACUUUCAACAACGGAUCUCUUGGUUCUGGCAUCGAUGAAGAACGCAGCGAAAUGCGAUAAGUAAUGUGAAUUGCAGAAUUCAGUGAAUCAUCGAAUCUUUGAACGCACAUUGCGCCCGCCAGCAUUCUGGCGGGCAUGCCUGUUCGAGCGUCAUUUCAACCCUCGAGCUCGUCUUCAUUGACGAGAUCGGUGUUGGGACCCGGCGAGCGAGGACUUCUGUCCUCUGCCGGCCCCGAAAUUCAGUGGCGGCCCGUUGCGGCGACCUCUGCGUAGUAACUUAACCUCGCACUGGGACAGCAUCGUGGCCACGCCGUAAAACCCCCGACUUUUUUUAAGGUUGACCUCGAAUCAGGUAGGACUACCCGCUGAACUUAA